rnacentral:rRNA from 1 species
AUUGAACGCUGGCGGCAGGCCUAACACAUGCAAGUCGAGCGAGCGGCGGACGGGUGAGUAAUGUAUGGGGACUGCCCGAUAGAGGGGGAUAACUACUGGAAACGGUGGCUAAUACCGCAUACUAUCGGAUAACCCAUAUGGGAUUAGCUAGUAGGUGGGGUAAAGGCUCACCUAGGCGACGAUCUCUAGCUGGUCUGAGAGGAUGAUCAGCCACACGUGGACUAAUAGAGGACCAAGACUCCUACGGUGGCAGCAGUGGGGAAUUUUGGACAAUGGGUGCGAGCCUGAUACAGCCAGUCCGCGUGUAUGAAGAAGUCCUUAGGUUUGUAAAGUACUUUCAGCGGGGAGGCGUGGCCCGCAGAAGAAGCACCGGCUAGCUCCGUGCCAGCCGCCGCGGUAAUUC